GACGAACGCUGGCGGCGUGCCUAACACAUGCAAGUCGAGCGGUCCUGCAUUCAACAUUGAGUAUUCAGCAGGCGUUGGAGAUGUAACCAGCGUCAAGCAGAAACGACUAUAUAUUAUAAUUUUUUGAAGUUUCUGCUUCACGCCAAAUCAAGUGCCAACACAAAGGGAGCUGAGUAUUGAAUGUUGAAUGCAGGAUAGCGGCGGACGGGUGAGUAACGCGUGGGCAACCUGCCUCAUACAGGGGGAUAACACAGGGAAACUUGUGCUAAUACCGCAUAAUAUCAUUGGGUGGCAUCACCUGAUGAUCAAAGGAGAAAUCCGGUAUGAGAUGGGCCCGCGUCCGAUUAGCUAGUUGGUGAGGUAACGGCUCACCAAGGCGACGAUCGGUAGCCGAACUGAGAGGUUGAUCGGCCACAUUGGGACUGAGACACGGCCCAGACUCCUACGGGAGGCAGCAGUGGGGAAUAUUGCG
rnacentral:rRNA from 1 species